ensembl:lncRNA
GUUGGACAGAUGCACAGGACAGGCAGUGGCAGCACAAGGGGAGCUGUGAGUAAGCCGUGGAGAUGCGUCAGCAGAAGCCGUGAGAGAAAAGCUCGGCCAAGCAGAGGGGGAGGGAAUUGCCUGGGAAUAGCAGGAGGCAGAGAAUGAUGGAGGAGAAUUAAAAUGAAGAUCUACAAAUCCCUGCUGCUGAGAAGCACCGAGACACCAUGAGCGCUGGGACUGCCUGGGGUUCGUUUCUGCAUUCAUUGUUUUCCACCAUUUUGGGCACUAUUCUAAGCGUUAGACAAGAUCUCUCCUUCAUGAAACUUACGUUCUAGUCAGGGAAGUAAAUAUAAAUAGGUAAAAAAGUAAACCAGGCUCAUAGGUAUAGAGAACAGAUUGGUGGUUGCCAGAGGUAGGGGUGGGGAGUGGGCAAAAUGGGUGAAAGGAGUCAAAAGGUGCAAACUUCCAGUUAUCCAAAAUAAAUGUCAUGAGGAUGUCAUGUACUGCAUGGCAACUAGUUAAUAAUACUGUAUCACAUAUUUGAAAGUUGCUAAGAGAGUAAAUCUUAAAGUCCUCAUCUUGGGGCUGACUCAGUGGCAUAGUGGUUAAGUUCACACACUCUGCUUAGGUGGCUAGGGGUUCAUGGGUUUGGAUCCCAGGUGUGGACCUAUAUACCACUCAUCAAGCCAUGUUGUGGUGGCAUCCCACAUACAAAAUAGAGUAAGAUUGGCACAGAUGUUAAGCUCAAGGCCAAUAUACCUCAAGCAAAAAGAGGAAUAUUGGCAACAGAUGUUAGCUCAGGGCCAAACUUCCUCACCAUAAAAAAUUUCUCAUCUCAAGAAAAAAAAAUUCUAUAACUAUAUAUGAUGAUAGAUGUUAACUAGACUUAUAGUGAUGAUCAUUUCACAAUAUAUACAAAUAUUGAAUCAUUAUGUUGGACACCUAAAACUAAGAUAAUGUUGUAUGUAAAUUAUACCUCAAUAAAAAAAAUGGGUGUGGGGGCCAGCCCAGUGGCGUAGUGGUUAAGUUCACAUGCCCUGCUUUGGUGGCCCGGGCUUUGCGGGUUCAGAUCCCAGGUGCAGACCUACACACCACUCAUCAAGCCAUGAUGUGGUGGCAUCCCACAUACAAAAUAGAGGAAGACUGGCACAGAUGUUAGCUCAGGGACAAUCUUCCUCAAGCAAAAAGAGAAAGAUUGGCAACAGAUGUUAGCUCAGGGUCAAUCUUCCUCAUCCAAAAAAGCCCAUUUUUUUUUCAUUACAUAGGAACAGUUGGCAAUUUCUUACAAAACUAAACAGACUCUUACCAUAUGCUCCAGCAAUCACACUCCUUGGUACUUACUGAAAGGAGUUGAAAACUUGUGUCCACUCAAAGACCUGCACAUGGAUGUUUAUAGCAGCUUUAUUCAUAGCUAACAAAACUUGGAAGCAACCAAGACGUCCUUCAGUAGGUGAACAGAUAAGCUGUGGUACAUCCAGACAAUGCAAUAUCAUUCAGUGCUAAAAAUAAAUGAUCUGUCAAGCCAUGAAAAGACAUAGAGAAACCUUAAGUGCAUAUUACUAAGUGAAAGAAGCCAACGUGAAAAGGCUACAUACUCUAUGAUUCCAGCUAUAUGACACUCUGGAAACAGCACAACUAUGGAGACAGUAAAAAGAUCAGUGGUUGCCAGGGGUGGGGCAGAGGGAGGCAUGAAUAGGUGGAGUACACAGGAUUCUUGGGGCAGUGAAAACACUCUGUGUGAUACCAUAAUGAUGGAUAUCUGUCCUUAUACAUUUGUCCAAAUCCACAGAAUGUACGACACCAAGAGUGAACCCUAAUGUAAACUCUGGACUUUGCAUGGUAAUGACGUGUCAAUGUAGGUUCAUGGUUUGUAACCAAUGUACCACACUGGUGGGGGAUGGGAUGUUGAUACUGGGGGAGGCUGUGAAGGUAUGGGGGCAGGGGUAUAUGGGAACUCUCUGUACUUGCUACUCAACUUUGCCGGGAACCUAAAACUUCAAGUAUAUUAAAAAAAAAAAAAAUCCAUUAUAACAAAAAGCUGGAGGAUGGAAUACUCUAGAUUAAAAAAAACUAAAGAGGGCUUCCAUAAAUGAAUGAAUAGAGUAAUAAGUGCUGGAAAGAAAAGUAGAGCUGGCAAGAGGACUGUGUAUGGGAGCAGCUAUUUUUACUUAGGCAUCAAAGAAGGCGUCUCUGAGAAGGUGAUAGAGACCUGAAUGAAGAGAAGGGGGAAGCCAUGUGAAUAUUUGCAAGAUAAACAGUCCAGAUGGAGGGUGGAGGGACCUAUGGGCAAAUUGCUGAGCCCAUAAUGUGCUUGUUCUUCAAAGAACGGCAAAGAGGUCGAUGUGGCUGGAGAGGAGUGAGCGAAAGAGACAGUGAAAGGAAAUUAGGUCAGCGAGGUAGCUGGGCAAGAGCACCAUGCAGUGGGCCUCACAGGCCACGAGGACUUAGGGUGUUACUGUGCAUGUGAUGGGGAGCCAUUGGGGGAAUCCCGAGCAACCUUCCAAUUCCAGUGUCUUCUGGGAAGUCUAGCUGCUCUAUGAUUUCCAUUCUUCCCAUAAAUUCCUGUCCUCUUACCCAUAGAGCCCCAUUGUUUCCCAUAAAGUCCCUUUGGUCAGAUGAGCAGGAAUGAGUUUUCCUUCCUGCCAACAAAGUGAGCCAGUCCCCAAAGCCACCAUGAUUUGACCCUAAGAAAUCCCUCAGCUUCCCCUUCUUCCUCUUGCCCCUUUCUCCCAGUGCUCCACUCCAGCAGCCUCAUAUUUGCCAGGUGCUAGGUGCAGCCUGCCUUUGCUGCCUCUGGGUCUUUGCUCUAACUCUUCCCUCUCUCUAGAAAGACUUUCUCUGGAGAACUUCUUGUCACAGUCCACCUCUCCAAGGACAUUCGCAAAUCCCACUUCUUCUAGGAAACUUUCCAUGAUCACUUGACUUGAAAUGGACUCUUCUCUCCUUAACUCCUGUUUGGAUUAUUUUCAGUUGCAUAAGUAACUACCCAAAACUUAGUGCUUACAAAUUAAAACAAUAAUUUACUAUCUCUUGAAAUGCUGUGGGCUUACUAGGCAUUCUUCUGCAUCACAAGGUGUGGCUGGGUGCUGGCACAGCUGAAGUCAACCGGGGCCUUAACUGGACUGGACCGUCUAAGACGGCUCACUCCCAUGGCUGACAGUUGAUGCUCAGCUGGGGCUGUCAAUGGGGCACCUGUAGAUGACAGGUCACAGCAUGGCAGCUAGGUUCCUAGAGGGAGCAUCCUGAGAAAAUCAGGAGGAAGCCACAAGGCUUCUGAUGGUUUAGCCUUGGAAGGCACCCAAAGUCAUUUCAGCUGCAUUCUGUCGUCAUGGGCCAGCCCAGUUUUGAGGAGGUAAAAAGGACAAAUAGAUCCUGGCUCUUAAUGGAGGCAGUGUCAAGGAAUUUGCAGUUAUCUUCAACCCACCACAGCUCUCAUGGUGUUGUUUCCACAUACUGAUUAGAGCGUUUGUCACCUUUUGCCUAUAUAACAAUUAUUUAAGUGUCUUUUAUCUCACAUACUAGAUUUUAUGCCCCUGAGGAGAGACUACAUCUUAUUUAACUCAAUUCUUUCAAAGUAAUAAUAACCACAAUAAUAACAAACAUUUAUUAAGUGCCUACUAUGUGCUUGAUCUCAUCUAUUCAAACACAUGAUCUCCUCUAGUCUCUACUCUGACAGGGUAGACAUUAUCCCCAUUUUACUGAUUGGGAAACCGAGGCACAGAGAGAUUCAGCCUUGCCCAAAGCCAUAUACAGUCAUGAGCUGAAUAACGACAUUUCAGUCAACAACAGACUGUGUAUACAACAGUGGUCCCAUAAGAUUAGCACCGUAUAGCCUAGGUGUGUAGUAGGCUUUACCAUCUAGGUUUGUGUAAGUACUGUAGGGGAGGAAGAAAUUCUCCUCUACCCUCUAGGUUCUUGUGGCUGGUUUAAGAAUGAAAUUGACCUGAGACAGUUAGAGGGAGAAAAGCAAACAAAAGUUUAAUAGCAUGUAUAUAGGGGAGAAGUCCAGGAAAACCAAGUAACUUACCAAAAUGGCUGAAGCCCUCACCUUAAGUACCAUCCUCAGCUAAUGAGAAAAGAUGUUGGGGUGGGGAGAGUCAAGAACUUCAAAGGGAAGGAAGGCAAUUCACAGGUAGGUGAAAAGGAGCAAAUGUUUGGAAAACAAGUGUGUAUUUGGCCACACAGAAACAGAAGAACACAGAGGGGAGCCCAACAAACUGUCUACCGUCUAGUUCAUGUUACACUAAGGUGAUAGCUCACUUCCUGAGACAGGCUUUUUUUUUAAAUCUGAUUUCUUUUAGGCAGUUAAGCGGGAGGUAACAAGAAAAACUUUCUGAGUCCUUUGUUUCUUAAAAAUAAUCAGCCUAAAAUAGUCCUCAUGUUAAAGAGACACAUUUGGGGUGGCAAAUUUUGUUCCCCUUCAGUACACUCUCUGAUGUUCACACGACAAAAUUGCCUAACAAUGUAUUUCUCAGGACGUGUCCCCGUCAUUAAGUGAUGCAUGGCUGUAAUUGGUAGGUGGCAGAGCCAGAAUUUUGAACCCAUUGAAGAGUCUGUCUUCUCAUUAUCUUUUCCAUUGCCAUCUCACAAUCUUGGCACCAAAGAAAUGUGCUCAAGUCAACCUGUGUUGGUGUUACUGAAGUGUCGCUGGGCACAAGAACAAAAGGGAAAGAAGAAGAAAGAAUGCAGAACGGAAAGUGAGGGGUGGCACAGAGUUGUCAUCAAGUGAGCCAGGUGGCUCCAGUUGACACAUGGUCCAGAGGUCCAGUGCUGAGCAUCCUCUGUAGCCUGCUGGAUAGAGGGCAGAGUGUUUGGGAGCUCAGCAAGGAAUGGGAGUAUUUAUUGGGUCUGAGUGCCUGAUUCGAAACUCUUCUCCAAAAUUCCUAUUUUCUGUCUGCCAAAAUAAGUGAUGGACUUUACAGUUCAUAUUCUAGCUCAUCUGCCCAGGUCAGGGACCUACCACUCUGAAUUUCUCGUCUGCUUCUUCCCAGCUAGAAGUAAGUCUCGAUUUACUUCCCAUCAGGAACAAGCACCAUCUCCCUGCUCAGUGAGAUCCUAGUUUUAGAAGAUUCUGCCUUUAUCCUGGGAAUAUCUAUGUAUGUGCACAAAGCCCCUCUCUGUGGAGGAGACACUUAAACCUAAAAUAAGUGGGAACUUCAUAUCCAGGGAGAUGGCAAAUAAAAUGUCAAUAUUUUUUACAUUAAACAACCUCUUAUAUAUCUGUUCUUCUGUGAACGUAAUGGCACCGAUGGGCCAAAAGUCCAAAAAAACUGCUUCAGUUCCUGUGUUAGUCCGUUCAGGCUGCGGUAACAAAAGCCCACAGCCUGGGUGGGGGGUGGUAGUUUAUAAACAACAGACAUUUAUUUCUCACAGUUCUGGAGUCUGGGAAGUCCAAGAUCAUGGUGUCAGCAUGGUUGGACAUGGGCCCUCUUUCUGGUUCACCGCCUGCACCCUCUCGCUGUGUCCUCACAUCGUGGAAGGGGCAAAGGAUCAUUCUGAAGCCUCUUUUUUUCAAGGCACUAAUCCCUUGGUGAGGGCUGCACCCUCAUGACUUAAGCACAUCCCAAAGGUCCCAUCUCCUAAUACCAUCACCACUGAGGGUUAGGAUUUCAACAUUUGAGUCUGCGGGGGACACAAACAUUCAAACCGUACAGUUCCUCAAUGUGAAUGUCAACAAUUGGUGCAAAAAGUGGAGGCACAGAUUGUUUUAGCCUCUUUCCCCUGUGGCCCCCACACUCAUAGGGCUGAUCAUCCCCUGCUCACGUGUGCACCAUUCCCAAAGGACAUCACCGUGAAAUGGUGGCUAUGUUCUUGGACAUGACAGAGCAAGUGUCUUCAGUACUUCAAGGACACAAUUAUACAGCUCUAUGCACCUUGGGAAUUACAAAGACAUUCACUGAUCAGCCUGGUCAGCUGACAUUCUUAAUUGUUUACAGUCAAUUCUCCUUGCUCCAGGUCCACCCAUGAGUCCCUAGAAGGAUAAAAGGGUAGAUCAGCUUAUAAAAACACUGCCUUAAGAACCUAAAAAGUCUGAAAUGACAAAACUCUGCCAAACAAUGGAGAAAUCCAUUGAAAAUACCAACUACUUGUGUAGUAAGGUCAAGCAAGCAUGUCACUAGGCCUUACUGUAUCAGAGGCAAAAUUAUCUAACAUGGAUGAUUGGUCCUACUGAAUAUUUUGGUUCCUUCAACUCCCUACCACCCACCCCCGUAAUCAUUCUCCACACAGCAGCCAGGGCUAGCUUUUAGAAAUUGAAAUCAGAUUGUAUGAGCCCUUGCUAAAACACCCCAAAGUCUUCCUAAUCACUUAGAAUAAUCUCCAAACAUCUGAGCAGAUCCUUAGAAGGUUCUAGAUCAUUUGUCCCUGCCUAUCUCUUCUACCUCAUCUCCCUCCAUUGUCCCAUAUUAACAGGUCCUGCCAUACAAGUUUCCUGUUUGUUCAAGAACACACAUCAAGUCUGAUCUGUCCUCUGGACCUUUGCACCUGCAGUGCCCUCUGCCUGAAAUGCCCAGCUCUUGGCCUGGCUUUCUUUCUUCUUUCAAGUAUCAGUUCAAGUACCACUUCCUUGACCACACAGUCUAAAGCAGUCCUCACCCCACUUCGCUCUCCAUUGGUGCUCUUAUUUUCUUUUCUAUAGCACCUUCAACCUAGAUACUUACACGUUUAUCACAGCCCCUCACUUGAGAGUGUAUGUACCAUGACGCAGGAACUUGAUGGACCUCCCCUGUGUCUCCAGCACCUUCCAGAAUACUUGGGACAAGUAGGUACUCAAUAUUUGUUGAAUGACUGAGCAUAUUAGUUUCUUAUAUCCUCCAGGCAUUUUAGAGACACUGUCGCCUGGGGAAGACACUUGGAAAUUUAACCUCUCUUGAGAAGGCAGGGAAAGCCUCGCUUCUCAUUAAUUAUUUAAAUACCUACAAAGCCUGGGAUUUCAGGAGGAUUAAGAAUCUUCCUCAUUCCACUUGUCACCGCUACAUGCUCUCAGGCCUAAUCAUAGCACCUGUGACUCUUACACCGACGGCUGGUGUCUGGUCUCCUGAGAGCCUUAGUGUAGCAAGAAAGCAUCUACAGACUGUUAACACUGGCAUCUUUUGAGAUUUUAAUUAUUGGAGUAUUUUUUUUCUAUCUCAUUCAUGGUCAGGAUUUUGAUUAACUUGUAAGUGGGAGCUUUGGCAAUUAGAGGAGUUUGGAGGAGGGUGUUUAGGGCUGGUAAGAAAUGCCAGGGCCGCCCUUAGCUGCUAGUGCAGGAAUUGGCGGUAUGCCAGCUGCCUCCCCCAUCUUUGCAUCCAUCUACACCCCAUGUGGGAGGAUGGGCACGCAGCAGGAUUGUUGGCUGCAAUGGGUCGUCGGACUUGCUGGGAGCUCUCUGCUUCCCAGAUAUUUCUUUCUGUCUACGGCAUCUUUGUGGAUGCGGGAGUCUCCAAGUUUUCAGCAGGUUAGGCCAGCAGGCAGCAGCUCACUCUGGUGUUAUGUAGUUGGAGCACCUUCUUCUCAGCACUUGGGCUUCCAUCCAGGCUGCCUCAGCGCUUCUGAACGACCAAGGUCUGGAAAUAGUUCAUCCACGGAGCUGGCUUGGCAGAGGCAGGCUGCUCAGCUGAGCAGUGCGGCGGCUCUGACUGCUCUCUCCUCAGGGGUCCCAGGUCCACCCAUCGCUUCUCACCUCCUCCUAUUCUGGGCUUUCAGAGCCCAGUUCUGCAUUUAGAUGUAGCUUUGCAGGGAGAUAGGUCUGGGUUUGAACCUUUACCAACCUGUUUAACCCUCUGAGCCUCAAUUUCUUUAUCCGUAAGAUGGGGACGAGAACCACAACCUACCUCACAAGUUUUUGAGAGGAUUGAAUGAGACACUGGGUGCAAAGUGUCUAGAACAGUAAAUGUCAGCUGUUAUCAUUUGGGUUCAAGUUUAUGUGUGACACCUUAAGCCAGUUCACCCUCUGGGUCUCAGCUUUCUCACCUAUAAAUUGAGGAUAAUGCCUCUUGUAGUUGUGUGAUAAUGAAACGAGGGUGCAAGAUAAAUUGUCAAGCAUUUUCCAAAUGCGGCCUGAUUUCAUCAGUGAGUCUUUGACUUGCAUCUACCUCUGGCCAUGAAGUUAAGUUGAAUUUCUCACAAAACCCUAAACAUGGACAUGUUGUCUGCCUUACUCGUGAAAAGAAUGUAGAAAUAUAGAAUGGGGCGGGCUAUAUGCAAACACUGUUGGGAAGUUAAAAAAAAAAAGGCAAAUAGCAUUAAAAUGAUUAUUGCAUGAGUGACCAGACUUUCGUCCCUCAGGGGAAAAUAUUUCCCAAUUUGCUUAGAGUAGCAAAAAAGAGGGAAAAAAAAGAUUUGAUGGUUAUUUCAAAUCUGUCUCCCCCAGGGAAAUUAAAUCUGAGUUAUGAGGUAUUUUUCAUGAAGCCAGAGUCUAGCAUAAAACUAACAAUUAAAAAAACCACUGUGAGAUGACCAUAAGUGGAUUCGGACGGAAUUGUCCUUAGCACAGGGAUGCGGGAGCACACCGUCAUCCCUGCCACAGAACUUCCUCCGACCCCCGCCCUACCCCACAUCCUUGGCCUGGUGGGGUCUGGGUACAUCCUUUAGGAGUUAUGUCACCUGCCAUGUUCCCAUCGCCCUGCAGGCAGGGACCUCCCAGUGUUCACAGCUGGUAAACUGACAGGCCUCCUCAGUCUCUGUCACUCCCACCGGCCCUCCUCAUCCCCAGCAGGAAUUGGUGCUGCUGUGAGGACCGCAAAGGCAGCGGGGCAUUUUUAUUCUGAAGUAACAAGUUAUUACAUGUAAACCAUGGUUUCUGUUUUUAUUUUUUCAAAAAUGACACUGAGUACUUUUCCCAGAAACCUGAUUGUUUUUAGCCUCAUCUUUGGUCUUCUCUCCUAUGGGCAGUUUCAAAGGUCAGGGGCGUUUCUCAUUUGAAUCUCCCCAGCACCCCUUUCUGAAGCAGAGCCGUCUUCUCUGUAGGGAACCCAUGCAAGGGGAGCUCACUUUGCCCAUUCGCAGGACCCAGAACUGGCCAAUCCUUGUAUCCUACACUCUUGGCCAUUGUGGCUGGUUCCCAUAGGCACAUGAGGCAAAUCAAGCAAAUCAGGAGCUUCCUUGGAUCUUUCCUGAUAUUGCAAUUGGCAAAGGCCGUGUCUUUCCCCUGGGGUUGUCAGGCUGGGAGGAUUUCAGUCUGAGGCUGCUGGUAGCCAUGAGGCCAGGGCCUGCCUGAGAGACAAGAGAUCUCUGAUAGCAUUGUUGGCACUCUGGAUCAAGCCCUGCCUGAAGCCACUACAGUAGGGCACUAUGUGAACUAAUAAAUACCCUCCAUGUCGCUUUUUUUGAAGGGGGUUUCUGUCACUGUCAACUGCAAACAUCUUGACUGAUACAGUUAGAUUAGCCUCUGUGUUAGGUUUUUUGAAAAUUCUUGAAGAAUGGCUAAGAUGGAAUGAAUGCGGUGUAAAGAAACGUGAAAUAGAGGGGAGCAUACAGGUUAAAUUUGGAAUUUCCUUGAAAAAUAAUGCCUCCCAUUUACUGAACACCUGCGAGUGCCACACAUUUUAUAUACCCCAUCUUCUUGGCUUCUCACUGCCAUCCUGCAGGUUGUAUUAUAACCAUUUUAGAGAGCAGCAAACUGAGGCUUGGAGGAACUAAGAGACUUGCCAAAGACCACUCAGGGAGGAAGUAGUGGAGCCAGGAUUUUGCACUCGAGUUUUUGGUGAAACAACUUCCAUCCUAUAGAUCUAAGACUAUUGCUUACUCAUUCAUUCAGCACUUAUUGGACAUUAGGUAUUUGCCAGGCAGGAUGUUAGGCACCGGGGAUAUGAAAUGAAUAUGAUAGCGCACAUCCUUCAGCUGCUCAGAGUCCAGUGGGGGAGACCCCCAUUAGGGUCAUUAUUAUGGGUUGAAUGGUAUCCCCCAAAAAGAUAUCUUGAACUCCUAACCCCUGGUAUGCGUGAAUGUGAGAUUCUUUGGGAAUAGGGUCUAUGCCCAUGUGAUCAAGAUAAGGCGAGGCCAUUAGGGCAGGCCCUAGUCCAGUAUGACUGGGUCCUUCUAAGAGGGAAAUUUCGACCCCCGGACCCACGGGAAAAGGCCACGUGAAGCUGGAGGCAGAGAUUGGAGUGAUGCUUCUCCAAGCCAAGGAACACCAAGGAUUGUCCUCUGUCACCAGAUGCUGGGGGAGAGGCAUGGAACAGAUUCUCCCUACGAGCUCUCAGAAGGAACCAGCCCGGCCAACACCCUGAUGAAGGACUUGCAGCCUCCAGAACUGCGAGACAAGACAUUUCGGUUGUUUUGAGUGACUCAGUUUACGACAGCCCUAGAAAACAAAUACAGUCAUCCAGGGUUCCACCUCCAGGAACCUGUGUUGAUUUGAAUCUCGUCUAAGAUUGCUCUGCCUGUGGCCCCCCCAGCUGACAACCUGGGACAAGCCUCUGCAGCCUGUAGUCCCACCCUCCCAUCCAUCACACCUCGCAGGUGGGCUCCUCCCAGCCACAGCUCCCUGUCCUCUUUGCCACAGAUGAGUGAAGCCACUGGGUCCCGGAUUGCCCAGCACCAGGACGCACCCUGUGUGACAAUGCUCCCCUCCCCCGACCUCUGAACACACUCUGGCCCCAAUAGCCGCCCGGGGCCCACAGUUUGCUUUGGACAGGCAAGUACCUGGAGGCAGCGGACAGCUAAUACCAGGGCGUUGCCCUUCCUUUAUAUUCCAAAGCUGUUCUGUUUCCAGGAUACGAGUCUCAUGAUUCCUCCUUUGUGAUUAAUGUUGAAGCCAUUUCUUGAUGUACUGUCUUAAUAACACGGUGAAGGCAAACAGCCUUUGGUUGGCGAAUGUGACAGCACUUUUAUCUGACCAGCCUCACCCUGGCCUAUUCCUGCAAACCAGGUAGGCAGCAUGUGGAUGUGGAAGACGUGAAACGAGGGGAAAUAAAGUCUGAAUUAAUCGGCAAUUUGCCUAGGCUGGUGAUUAGCUAUAAUUUGGACCUGCUGCCUAGCGUUUUAAGCGCUGGCCCAACUUCCUUUAGUUUUUGACUGUCUUGAAAUGCCAACAAAACUCUCCUAAUGAGAAGCAUUUACCUGCUGAUGUGUUUGGAGGGCAAAACGCCAGCUCAUUAAACGUGGUGAAGCCUCCAGUAGCUAAAGCUUUCCUGGUGGGUGAACUUAAACUUUCCAUACUCCUAAAGAAGGGGGCGACGUCAGUUAUAAUUAUUCCCAAGUGGGUGUCCUCCUGUCAACACCUCAAGGCCAAGGCCCUGAUCUUGCUUUUUUAAUUUUUGUACCUUUAAGAACAUCUAACAGAGUGGGUACUUCAGGCCUGCUGGUUGGCUUAAGUACAGGGAUUUAAUUCGGGCCACUGUGACCCUAGUAUGUUUUUAUCACACAUGGUGGUUAAGAAUUUAGGCUUUGGAGCUUAAGAGGCAGGCUGCCUGGAUUAGAAUGCAAGCUGGCUGUGUGACUUCGGGAAGGUGAGUUAACCUCUCUGAGCUUCAGUCUCUUAUCUGCAAAAUGAGUUGUUAGAAUGAGUCAAUGAGAUAACGUACCUGAAGUGCUCAGCAAUCAACAAAAAGAGCCAUUAUUAUUAACUGGUAAUUGGAAGAUCCGGACUUAGCCAGGUUUGUCUGACUCCAGAACCCAGGCUGUUGCCCAUUUUGGGGCUCAGCAUGACUUCCACUGGAUUUCUCUCCACCAUAGGGUGAGCUGGCAUAACCAGACGCAGGACCAGCAGCCACGUGCUGGAAGAGCCAUGCUGGACAUGCUAAAUCCUUUCUCAGAUGCCUGGACAGAGCUCCCUAAGCCCCCAAAAUCACAGCCAAGAAGCCCCAUACUCCCACCCAAGUUGGUCAUGCAGAAAUCUCGGGAGCGUCUCUGUCUCUUUGUGGGAAGAGAGAAGAUUUCCAGACUCCUUUCGGGUCUCUCUCUCUCCCAGGGCUUGUCAAAGUCCCCUGUUGUGAGGACAGGAGCUCAAGGAGAGAAGACACACUUUAGGGUCCUACUCAGCUCCCCUCCCCCAGAGGUACAGGCGACUGUGGCCUCUCAGAUCUGGAAGCAGUCUUCCCAGCUCUCCAUCCGUACUAGUUUCUUAUGGCUGCCAUAACAAAGUACCAAAAACUGAGUGGCUUAAAACAGAAAUUUAUUGUCUCACAGUUCUGGAGGCUAGAAGUCCAAGAUGAGGGUGUCGGCAGGGCCGUGCUCUCUGACAGCUCUAGGGGAAAACCCUUGCUGGCCUCUUCCAGCUUCUGCUGUUUGGAGUGGUCCUAGGUCUUCCUUGGCUCCUUAGAUGCAUCACUGCGGUCACAUGGCCAUCUUCUCCCUGUGAGUCUUCACACAGUGUUUCCUCUGUGCAUGUCUGUGCAUGUGUCCAAAUUUCUCCUUUUUAUAAGGACACCGGUUAUCUUGGAUCAGGGUCCACCCUAAUGACCUCAUUUUACCUUGAUUUUCUCUGUUAAGACCCUAUUUCCAAAUAAGGUCACAUUCUGAGUUACUGGGGGUUAGAACUUUAGCAUUUCUUUCUUUGGGAGGCGGAAUUCAACUCACCACACCAUCUGUGAUGGUUAAUUUUAUGUGUCAACUUGGUUAGGCUAUCACACCCAGCUAUUUGGUCAAACAUUAUUCCAGAUAUUUCUGUGAAGGUAUUUUUUAGACAAGAUGGACAUUUAAAUCAGUCGAUUUUGAGUAAAGCAGAUUACCCUCCAUCCGAUCAGUGAAAGGCCUUAACAGAAAAAGAUUCACGUCCCUCGAAGAAGAGAGUAUCCUGCCUGCAGGCGACCUUGGUACUCAAAGUGAAAUCCUUCCCUGGAUGUCUAGCCUCCCGGCCUACCCUGCAGAUUUUGGACUGGCCAAGCCUCCACAAUCAACUGAGCCAAUCCUUAAAACAAAUUCUCUCUCUAUAGAUAGAUAGAUCGAUCGCUUGAUAGAUAGAUAGAUCAAUCUAUCUAUGGCUAGGGAUCUAUAUCUGUAUCUAUAUCUCAUAUAGAUAGAGUUGGUUCUGUUUCUCCAUUGAUUCUGUUUCUCUGAAGAACCCUGACUGAUACACCAUCCAAGGGUCCCUUGGCGAUGGUGCCACGAUCGUAGCAAGGCUGGCAAUGCCUCACCCAGACAGAGGAGAAUGCCUGGGGCUGCCUUUCAACUCACCUCACUGUAAACAGUCAGUCAACCAGCAGACACGCAUUUCUGAGCCUUCGAUUUUUAUUAAUCCCUCGGCAAAGGAAGUUUGGACAGUUCAGUCUCAGUGUGAAUUGCAUUCAGAGACCAUGGAGAAGGGACAAGAAGAGAUUCCCUAGCUUCACAAGCUGGUGUGGUUCUGGAGCUGCUGUUCUGUACAAGGAGGACAGAAACACUCAUUUAAAAUAAUGCAUAAAAUGUUAAAGUCUGUCACAUUGUUCAUUGUCUAGUUACCUUUUGCUGUCUAACAAACUGCUUCAAAAUUUACUGGCUGGAAACUAUAACUAUUUAUUUAUUUGUGACUCUGAGGGUCAGCAGUUCAUGCUGGGCUCAACAGGGUGGUUCUCCUGCUUGAUGGCUUCUGGAGUCAUUUAUGCAGCUUCUGUCACCUGGUAGAACUGGGUGUCUUACUUAGUUGGAGCUGCUGUAACAAAAAUACCAUAGUCUUUGUGGCUUACACAAAAGAAAUUUACUCCUCCCAGUUCUGAAAGCUGCGAAGUCGAAGGUGAAGGUGCCAGCUGAUUCCCUGAGGGCUCUUCCUGGUUUGUGGAGGGACACCUUCUUGCUGUGUUAUCUCAUAACAAGGACAAAGAUCAUCUCUCUCCCGCCUCCCCUUAAAAAGGCAUCAAUCCCGUUCAGGAGGGCUCCUCUCUCAUGACCUAAUUACCUCCCAAAGGUCCCAACUCCAAAUACCAUUACACGGGCCAUUAUGGCUUCCACAUGUGAAUUUGGGGGAAAAGCGAGCAUUCUGUCCGUAGCACUGGGACGAGAUGGUCCAAGAUGGCUUCACACACAUCUGGCCAUUGGUACUGGCUGUUGCCUGGGCUUCUCUCUCCAUUCGAGUUCUCAUCUUCAAGAUAGCUAGCCUGGGCCUCUUUACCUGGUGGUCCUGUGUUCUAAGAAGGUGAGAGUAGCAGCUGCUAGGCCCCUUAAGACCUAGACUCAGAAGUCACCAAAACAUCACUUCCAUUGUAUUCCUUCAGCCAAAGCAAGUUACAAAGUCUUCUUCUGUUCAAGGUGAGGAAGAAUGGACUCCACCACUUGACAGGAGGUGGUGCAACGAUGUUCACGCACUGAUGUGAGGAUUUAUUACAGCCAACUUUGCAAACAAUCUACCACGUUUACUGAGCAAAUUAAAUCAGUGAAUGUAAAGGGCAAGUUAUGUCAGGAUACAUCAACAGAGGUGACAGCACGACACUGAUCAGACCCAGAGAUCAGAGGGGCAUUUCAGACGUGUGAGGACAUUGCUGUUUAUUACGCCAUUUGAUUGAGAACCCGGCAGGGAAGGUCUUUGGGAUCCGCCUGAUUCAAAGUCUAGUCUAUAAAUUUUUUCCUGUGAAAUUAGAUAUUUGCCUCAUCUCUGUUACAGCACAGCCAGAGGCAUCUGGCUGGGCCUGCUAACUUAUGUUCUUAGAUUUUCCUUGGCAGAAAUUAAUUUCUUUUUCUUAAGAAGUUUUUUUUCUCACUCCAAGGCUGAGUCUUUGCGUUAAUACCGGGGAUCCACAAUUCAUAAAUUUGUACCUCUUGGUUCAUUGUUUCAAAAUGAGACUUUUAAUAGAUUCCAAAGACUUAAUAAGAGUGCCGCCUAGUCACAUAAUGAAGCUACUGUGCACGUGGCUGACAGGUAGUAAUUUAUUAUUAUCCAUGUCUCUGAUAAGAGCUGUGCCAUGCACAGUGGGUGCCUAAUAAAUAUUAGCUAUUACAACAUAAGCGAUGGAAGAAAGUUUGUCCCUUUGUGUCUCAGCCAACCGUUCAUAACACAUUCUUCUAUUACCAUUGUAUCUAUUUUCUGUUAAUUUUAUCAAUUAUAUGUAGAGGGGAACUAUAGCCAUGUGUCUUUAUUAUUGUGAGUUUAAAUGUCCUAAUUUAUCCUGCCACUGUGUUUUGCUUAGCAGAGCAAGUCACAAUAUUUUUCUGUCCCUGCAGUGAAAGACUGCAGUAAAUUGAUCUUGCUAACAACAGAUAAUUAUUAGCUUCCUCAAGAAUUUUACUGUAUAUGCAUUGCUAAGCAUUCCAGGAGGAUUAAUAUUUCUAAGAAUUUUGGACAAGAUGAGGUAUCGGCCAAAAGAGAGGGCUGUUUUAAUGUUGGCCCUUGCUCCUGUUGCAUAUCCACCACCGAUCAUUUGUUAAUGCUGCUUGUGUUUCAAUCUGUGGUCACUCCAAGAAUGAAUGCUCCUCUGCUGACUAAUACACCCAGUUCCAAAGGGAGAAGCAGGCAACUCAGAACACUGGACGAUGCCGGCAGUCACCAGAAUGAAUCAGCCAGCUCUGCCACCCCCUGCCCUGGGCUGCAGAGCAACCUGAACGUCCCUUUUACGGAACCAAAGUGUGUUUGGUGUUUUUUGCAAGCCUGCUGCUCCUUGCGGAACGGAUGGUCUGCCCACUUCUGGAUUCCUCGGGCUUUUGGUGGUGCCUGAUGGACACUAGGAAUGCAAUAGAAGACAAAUAAGUGGGAGAUUGGAUAUACCAGGUUAAAAUAGCCCAGUCCCCUAUGGGGUUCCUCCACAUUGACUACAGUUAGGUAAAUUCAAACCCUUAAACUCACAAGGCUUUGAAAACUGUGAUUGUGUGAAUCCUGAUUACAAACCACCUGAGGGAAUCAUUUGGCUCCCUAAGACCAGCUGAGUCUGUGUGCAAUAAAGGAGGAGAGAAACUCUGGAGAAAGGCCCAGGGAGACGGGGGAAACCAAAGAAAUAUUAGGAAGCCCCAUUCUCCAGAAGUGGCCGACAAUUUUCCUCCCACAUACAUUAAAAAGUAUAGUCUAUACUUCGACCAGACAGAAAAAAUAUGGACAUGAUCUGGGACAAAGUCAUCAAAUCUUUGAUCCCCUUGGGCACUCGAUAGAAUAAAUGGUUUUCCACAUCACACAGGAGAAUUUUAAGUGCUUUGCGUCUGUGGAAGUGGGGCAUAGUGGUGGCGACAUCUGUCAAACAAAGAAACCCUCAAAUGCUUUAAUGUGGUGGCUGCUGGAUGAGAGAGGCGCAGAAGUGACCGUCUCCUGUAAGCCAAUGGUUCUGGAAAUGGGGUCUCUGCAGCAGCAGCAGCAUCACCUGGGAGCUUGUUAGAAAGGUGGCUUCUUGGUCCCACCCAGGACUGACUGAAUCUGAAAUUCCAGCGGGGUUGUCCAGCUAUGUGCGUUUUAACAAGCCCUCCCCACGAUUCCAAUGCAGGCUGAAGUCUGAGAACCACUGACAUAAAGCAUUACCUUGCAGUGAGUGACUCGGGGCCAAGAGCUUGACCCAGGGCCACAGCCAUCGAGUGACCUAAAAAAAGUAAGGGAUGACUCAGCUGAGGAGCUGAGCCUGGCCAGGCCGCCUGUCCUGAGAGCCUGAGGGCACAUGCAGCCACAGGGGAUUGCAAAGCUGGUCUAACCCAUCUUACCACCAGCCUCUCCCGAUGCCUGUCGUGACUUGACCUACUGUGAUGGCACCUCCACGGGGAAAGGGCUGUGUCCUCUCAGAUUCCCAAUCUAUUAUUAGUUCCAAUCCGCACAAAUCCACCGGUGCCAAAGGGAAGCUUUUGCGAACUUUCGAAGAUGGGUUAACGGUUUCAGAGCAGCAGCCCAGGGCCCAAGGAGUUGUCUGAGCCAAUAGACA